rnacentral:rRNA from 1 species
ACUACGGGUGGCAGCAGUGAGGAAUAUUGGUCAAUGGACGAGAGUCUGAACCAGCCAAGUAGCGUGAAGGAUGACUGCUCUAUGGGUUGUAAACUUCUUUUAUAUGGGAAUAACAUGUUCCAGGUGUGGGAUUUUGUAUGUACCAUAUGAAUAAGGAUCGGCUAACUCAUUGCCGGCAGCCGCGGUAAUACUGAGGAUCCGAGCGUUAUCCGGAUUGAUUGGGUUUAAAGGGAGCGUAGAUGGGGUGUUAAGUCAGUUGUGAAAGUGUGCGGCUCAACCGUAAAAUUGCAAUUGAUACUGGCAGUCUUGAGUACAGGUGAGGUAGGCGGAAUUCGUGGUGUAGCGGUGAAAUGCUUAGAUAUCACGAAGAACUCCGAUUGCGAAGGCAGCUUACUAAACUGCCACUGACGUUGAUGCUCGAAAGUGUGGGUAUCAAACAGGAUUAGAUACCCGGGUAGUC